GGACACCGUGUAUAGGCCUACAAGACAUUGCCCGGAAAAUGUGUCUUCUAGUUUAAACAAAACUCUCGAUUCUUUUAAGCAGCACUUUAAACAUUUUACAUCCUAAAGGGUUAGGUUUAGAAGGCAUGUAAUACGCGCGUUUCUUAUAAAACACCGUCUUUAAAACGUUUACCUCCUAAAGGGACCUAUUUAGAAGGGUUGUGGGGGAACCUGGAGCCUAUCCUAUCAUCCUAUCCUAUCAUCGGGCACAAGGCAGGGUACACCCUGGACAGGGUGCCAGUCCAUCGCAGGGCAUGAUUGAUUGAUUGAUCGCAGAUUGUGUGAGGAUACAUAAGCCUUCAGGAGAGAGUUGAGGAGCAGCAAUGAAGAAUCCCGUACUUCCAUCGCCAACGGAAGCAGAGGCAGAAUAACAUGUUAAGGAUCAUCUCUGCUUGGCCUCAGGGAGAAUGCCCUCUUAAACCACUUGUGUUCAUUUUCAUACCUUUUGUUUUUGUUUGUUUCAGGAUUUUAUAUAAUAGCAAAUAAAUUAAAAGUUCUUUUCAUUCUCUGACAAUAAUGCAAAUCAUUCUAUAACUUCUACAAUACGUCAAUACGUAAAGUGCUCAGAUUGCACUAUAAUGCUUAUAAAGUUACACCGGCACUAAAACAUUUACUUCCCAAAUUAUGGAGUAUACAGCUGUUACGCCACGGCCAGCAAAUGGCACUGCGGCGCGGCUUCUGACUGGACACGUGACUCUUAUUUUGGUUUGUUCGCUUCCUGUUUAGAUAUUGGCUUAUGUGCGAGGGUGUAGCUUAAUUUGAGCCAGGUGUCCAUGUUUAGUUUGAUUAUGUUGACUAUUUAAACCCCUUGGCGACUGCACACAGUAUUAUUAUUUGUAACAUAGAUGCCAGUGUGAUAGAUAUCGGUGUAACAUGUAGGUUUAGCAUGCUAGCGGUCUCAUUUCCAUGUCCUGUUUCCUGCCUCGACUUUAGUCUCAUGUUUACUCGUAUCUAAUUCCGUAAAGACCACGUUACCUGUGUUUGGUUUUGUUUGUUUAUGAAUAAAGACAGCGCUCCUGUGCCUACUCCCUGUGUAUCGUUACAACAGCACAUUACAGAUGGAAACAUGCCAGGUUCAAACAAAAG
ensembl:lncRNA